AACGAACGCUGGCGGCAUGCCUAACACAUGCAAGUCGAACGAGACCUUCGGGUCUAGUGGCGCACGGGUGCGUAACGCGUGGGAAUCUGCCCUUGGGUUCGGGAUAACAGUUGGAAACGACUGCUAAUACCGAAUGAUGACUUCGGUCCAAAGAUUUAUCGCCCAGGGAUGAGCCCGCGUCGGAUUAGCUAGUUGGUGAGGUAAAGGCUCACCAAGGCGACGAUCCGUAGCUGGUCUGAGAGGAUGAUCAGCCACACUGGGACUGAGACACGGCCCAGACUCCUACGGGAGGCAGCAGUGGGGAAUAUUGGACAAUGGGCGAAAGCCUGAUCCAGCAAUGCCGCGUGAGUGAUGAAGGCCUUAGGGUUGUAAAGCUCUUUUACCCGGGAUGAUAAUGACAGUACCGGGAGAAUAAGCCCCGGCUAACUCCGUGCCAGCAGCCGCAGUAAAAC
rnacentral:rRNA from 1 species